AAAUAGUUAGAUUGGAUUGUGGCAGAUUAAGGUGGGACUUGGCGGAGAAGGAAAUUCCGGUGCUUUUACCUACGUAAGAAACAUAAAGUCAAGGCCAAAUUUUAGCUACUAAAAGCAAAGCAAAGUUAUUCACUUCUCAAUUCAACCUUUCUCGUGAUCGAGUGAAGACAUACGAAUUUUCUUCCCACCUCCUCCCGCUGGCCUGCCGCUUUGUAUUUUAGUUUGUUGUUUUUUCUUGUACAUAUCAUUAUUAUACCUUUUUUGCCUAAUUGGCGUGUAGUCCUGCCACCUUUACUGGCAAUGAACAUUAACAGACUCAAAUUAUUAA